rnacentral:rRNA from 2 species
CGGGAGGCAGCAGUAGGGAAUCUUCCGCAAUGGACGAAAGUCUGACGGAGCAACGCCGCGUGAGUGAUGAAGGUUUUCGGAUCGUAAAGCUCUGUUGUUAGGGAAGAACAAGUGCAAGAGUAACUGCUUGCACCAUGACGGUACCUAACCAGAAAGCCACGGCUAACUACGUGCCAGCAGCCGCGGUAAUACGUAGGUGGCAAGCGUUGUCCGGAAUUAUUGGGCGUAAAGGGCUCGCAGGCGGUUUCUUAAGUCUGAUGUGAAAGCCCCCGGCUCAACCGGGGAGGGUCAUUGGAAACUGGGAAACUUGAGUGCAGAAGAGGAGAGUGGAAUUCCACGUGUAGCGGUGAAAUGCGUAGAGAUGUGGAGGAACACCAGUGG